AUUGAACGCUGGCGGCAGGCUUAACACAUGCAAGUCGAACGGUAGCAGGAGAAAGCUUGCUUUCUUGCUGACGAGUGGCGGACGGGUGAGUAAUGCUUGGGAAUCUGGCUUAUGGAGGGGGAUAACUACGGGAAACUGUAGCUAAUACCGCGUAGAAUCGGAAGAUGAAAGUGCGGGACCGCAAGGCCGCAUGCCAUGAGAUGAGCCCAAGUGGGAUUAGGUAGUUGGUGGGGUAAGGGCCUACCAAGCCUGCGAUCUCUAGCUGGUCUGAGAGGAUGGCCAGCCACACUGGAACUGAGACACGGUCCAGACUCCUACGGGAGGCAGCAGUGGGGAAUAUUGCGCAAUGGGGGGAACCCUGACGCAGCCAUGCCGCGUGAAUGAAGAAGGCCUUCGGGUUGUAAAGUUCUUUCGGUAUUGAGGAAGGUUGAUGUGUUAAUAGUACAUCACAUUGACGUUAAAUACAGAAGAAGCACCGGCUAACUCCGUG
rnacentral:rRNA from 1 species